AAUGGAGUGGUAUCCAUAUCUGAAUACAUAGGAUAUGAGAAGGCAGACCCGGGGAACUGAAACAUCUAAGUACCCGGAGGAAGAGAAAGCAAAUGCGAUUCCCUGAGUAGCGGCGAGCGAAACGGGACCAGCCCAAACCAAGAGGCUUGCCUCUUGGGGUUGUAGGACACUCUGUACGGAGUUACAAAGGAACGAGGUAGAUGAAGAGGUCUGGAAAGGCCCGCCAUAGGAGGUAACAGCCCUGUAGUCAAAACU
rnacentral:rRNA from 2 species